ACGGAAACGCCGUUUUUUCCGCCACUCGGCAGAAAACGCCGUUCAAAGAUGCAUAAAAACGGCGUUUUUUACGGCGUUCUGUGCCAGCUGUAACGGCGUUUAAAACGGCGUUUUAUUGAAAUUAUGCAGGGCACUCCCCAUGGUUCCCUCAUCCAAUUACUUUCAACUCAUUUCACCCAAUCAAAGAAGAGGAAGUGCAGACCACACUAAUGCAUCACCGAUUCACCUUGCUGCUAAGUGAUUGCCUAUUCAGUACCAGUGCUUGUCACAGUAUUGACUUGUAUUAUAAUCCCACUAUGCAUUUUGAUGUGUUUAAGGCAUGAUCAAGCAAACAAACGACAGAAUACUUUUUCUGAAACCUUAACUGUGUUACCUGUUAUGGCAGCUAACAGACACUCGGCGCAUGGCUCCUUUGUUUACGUUAGGGAUCAGCUGUUAGCGCUGCGCCCUGCAGCUGCGCUACCGGCAGACGGUAGCGUCCCCAGUGAGGGAAGAGACGGGGGUGAUGUCUCCCGAGAAGGACACCUUACACACCAUCUCUCCUUCCUGUAAUCACUGUAAACGUGAGAUCGCUCCCUGAUAUGAUUGAGGAGCUAAUGACGCUAACCCGGUCACAGUGGCAGUACCCCGACACUGCCCGGUACUCCCUCUGUGAGUAGGCUGCCCGGCUUCCAGCUGCUGCGGCCGGACAAGACGAGAGACAGCGGUGAGAGGAAAGGAGGGGGACUGGGCAGUGUUUGUUAAAGACAGUUGUGGUAUCCCUGGGCACAUUGCUGUGAAAGAACAACUCUGCAACAGAGACAUUGAGCUAUUAGCCAUUAGCAUCCGUGGAGACAGCCUGUGACUCUCUGUGGUCCGCAGACUGCAGACGCAAUCUCCGAGAGCUCUUCUUCUAAUAUCAGGGGACUUUAAUCAUGUCUCGCUGGACUCCACACUGCCCACCUUCACCCAGUAUGUGACCUGCCCCACCGUAGGCAAUAAAACAUUGUACUUAAUGUAUGCCAAUGAAAAAGUGGCAUACAGUUCAUCACCUCCCCCUGCCCAGGGAAGAUCUGAUCGUAAUUAGUGCGCCUUGUCCCUGUGUGCAGCACUUAGUGUGCACGGAGCCACCAAUCACCCACGCAGUGCAGAGAUGGUCCGCGGAAGGCAUAUGAAUAAAUAAUAAAAGCAAAUAAAUGACAGAAUGCUUUUUCUGAAACAAACGGAGACCUUAACUUUUAUCAAAAUACCGUUUUACUCAGUUUAAAGUAAUACCACUGUAUAAUAGCCUUCAAAUUUAAUAAUGUUAACAGUAUCUCAGGAAUAUUUUUGCCCCAUCAACAUGCAUUAAAAUUAGAUAUGCAGUUUUGAAUCAGACCUGUAUGUACGUUUUCUGAAAAGUAAUGUAAAUAAAUAAUCUCAAAAACAUGAAAUAAUUGUUUCCCAUGUAAACUGGAGUUGUCCUUGUCAAUGUCAUCAGAGUACUCUGGAUGUCUUACAUGAAUUUGAAACAGAGAGUGGCACAUGACAGCGUUGCACAUAACAUAACUAGUUUACCUGUAUGACAUGAAGUAAUUAAAAAAAAAAAAGAAUCCAUGUAACUUGGUUAUGGCUUCUUUCUGGUAACUGUAGAUACAAAUGGGCUGCAGUGUGCAUUAUCUUGACAAAAGUAUAAGAUACUGAACCCGCUGAUAUGAUGUGGUGGAGGAAUACAAAUACCUGGACACCCACAUUUAUACAUUUGCUGAACUGGAAGAUCAAAACAGAGGCUGUACACAAGCAGUGGAUGGGCAGGCUGUUUUUUGAGAACAAGCUUAUGUGUGCACCAAAAUGUUAAUGACAGGUGUUCUGUCAGUUCAGGUGAGUGCAGUGCACUUUGAUGUGUUCUUCUUGGAUCAGGAGAGCAAGCUCUGUGAUUGGCCGCGCUUCAGAAGCUGUGGUGGAGAGGAAGUGAGUGAACAAACUGCCAUGCAUCAUGGAUAUUCCUCUCAAUCCACCUCAUCAGGCACCUCUCUAAAAGUGUGACUCAGGUCUGUUGCCCCAAAGGAUACAGGAAAUGCACUGAUUUCCAGGACAGAAUCGUGUCUGUUUAAUGCUCCAUGAUGAUAACUUUCCUAUGAGCGUUUGAAGAUCACUGACAUCAUGGCUUUUAGCCUCAUUGUUUCUGCAAAGAGAUUUCUCCAGUCACUGAAUCUUUUGAUAAAAUAUAUUUUUAUGCCUCUAGAGGAUGGAAUAUUUUAAGUCUACAACAAACAAAAGAAACAACGUCUAUUUAUAGAUGACCAGAGAUCAAAGCUGCGAUCAUCCAAAGAGCCUCUUUCACAGUGGUAAAUCCCUACAGGUCACCAUAAAAAAAAAGCCAUUGAUUUGUAGUUGAGCGUUAAAUUGCAUUGCAACUGAGCGGGUAUAAAGUACCGGAGAAAAUAGAUUGAAUGUUCUUUUGUUAUGACUGAUUUCUGGUCUAGUUACAGUUCACCAGCUUUAAUAAAGUCAUGUCUACUUGCAAUUUAUGUGUAGUUGACCGGAAAAUUAAAGCAGCGAUCACUUGGACUAUUCCUAGCACCCCCCCCCUCACAGUGGUACAUCCCUUCAGGUAGCCAUUCACAAGUCUUGUACAGUAGAGCGGGACAUUACAUUUACUCUCAGCGGAAUUCACUGGAGAAGGCAUAUAAGUUCAUGCACUGCACUGGCCUGCACCACGAUUAUUAUAAGGUAAGAAUGAAUUUUCUUCUAUUCCUUAUUUUCAGUACAGUAAAAAGUUCGUUAAUAUAAAGAAACAAAGAACUCAUACUUUUGUUAUAUUCCGUUACAGAGCUAGCCUAACGCUUCGAUGCUUUGUUUAGCCUUGCCGUCGCCUCGGCCACCAUUGACCCAGACUGUCGCUCUGUGGUUGCUUUUUUUGCAUAGUACUAAAAAAAAAGUAAAUCUAUGGUAGGUAAACGUAAAGGUAACUAUAUAAAUGUGUUCAAUGACUUUGUUGCUUUUGAUGAUUGGAGAGCACCCGCUUCAAUUCGCAAACGAAAAGUUUAGACUCGAUGGCUCACGCGGCAUGCCCACGUGACUUUACGUCGCAUGCUCAAUUACGUGGCUCUAAUAUUAGAGCCACGUAUUAAUAUUAAUAUUAGAUUUAACUCUACAGCCGAGUAAUUAUCCCAAGAGCCUUUUUCUAGUAAACGGGAUUAACAGACUGUCAAACCAUGAAGUCAUAGUGCAACACCAAGUUGCAAUUUCAGUAAACUCAUCUGAAUUAGAUCGUGACAGAUGUUCCGAAUUUUCAGCUUUUGAUGUCCACCCUGAUAAGCACGCAUGUGCCUUUUUAAAUGCAUGUAUAGUUCUAUCUACAAUACCAGGAUUUAGUAAUACAGUGGUGUAUACAAAGAGCCAAAUGAGACUGUUAAGCUAUCAGUAAACCCGACACUGCAGACUGAAAGACAAACCCCAUGAACUGAAAACUGACCUUAAAUAUGAGUGCGGCAAAUCCGCAGUGAAGAGAGAUAAUAAUAUUGAUUAUUUUAAAAAGUUCCAAGAAUCCAAAACUAACGCACAGGAAGCCACAAGGUAGACAAACAAAGUGUACAACUUGAAACAGAACAACAGAGUAAGGAGCUGAGGAAAGCUGAGGGCUUAAAUACUUGCGCAAGUUGAUUAGGGAGAGAGGACGCAGCUGGGAGAAACAAGACACAGGUGAAUUGAAUCAAACAAGUAUGACCAGUGGAAGCAAAAGCAAGUGCACAAAAGACUAGACGUCAACAAUAUAAAGCAGUAGCCAACUAAAGAUAGGACACAGAAAUGCAGACUUUGCACUAGGAACACAGAAUGGCAGGAGAACAGCCUCAAAGAGUAAAGAACAGUAUAUGCAGAAAAUAAAGAAUAAAGUUAAAAGACAGCGUGGUCUUCAAGAACCCAGAGUACGAUACAAAAAUGUUGUUUUAUUCAAUUGAACAAAACAAUGUAGACCAUGUUCAUUUUUUUAAUAAGUUGGAAAAAAAUAAAAGCUAAUGACAGCAUUUAAAAUAAAAAAAGAUGAAUAACAUAGAUGGGAACAUUUGACAAUGGAA
rnacentral:lncRNA from 1 species